rnacentral:rRNA from 1 species
UAGGGAAUCUUCCGCAAUGGGCGAAAGCCUGACGGAGCAACGCCGCGUGAGUGAUGAAGGUCUUCGGAUCGUAAAACUCUGUUAUUAGGGAAGAACAAAUGUGUAAGUAACUAUGCACGUCUUGACGGUACCUAAUCAGAAAGCCACGGCUAACUACGUGCCAGCAGCCGCGGUAAUACGUAGGUGGCAAGCGUUAUCCGGAAUUAUUGGGCGUAAAGCGCGCGUAGGCGGUUUUUUAAGUCUGAUGUGAAAGCCCACGGCUCAACCGUGGAGGGUAAUUGGAAACUGGAAAACUUGAGUGCAGAAGAGGAAAGUGGAAUUCCAUGUGUAGCGGUGAAAUGCGCAGAGAUAUGGGGGAACACCAGUGGCGAAGGCGACUUUCUGGUCUGUAACUGACGCUGAUGUGCGAAAGCGUGGAGAUCAAACAGG